rnacentral:rRNA from 1 species
AACAAACGCUGGCGGCGUGCCUAAUACAUGCAAGUCGAACGGGGAAAGCUUUCGGGUGAGUACUAGUGGCGCACGGGUGAGGAACGCGUGGAUAAUCUGCCUUAGAGUGGGGGAUAACUAGUCGAAAGAUUAGCUAAUACCGCAUAAGACCACGAGAGCUGCGGCUUUUGAGGUCAAAGGUUUUUCGCUCUAAGAUGAGUCCGCGUAAGAUUAGCUAGUUGGUGAGGUAACGGCUCACCAAGGCGACGAUCUUUAACUGGUCUGAGAGGAUGAUCAGUCACACUGGAACUGAGACACGGUCCAGACUCCUACGGGAGGCAGCAGUAGGGAAUAUUGCACAAUGGAGGAAACUCUGAUGCAGCGACGCGGCGUGAGUGAUGAAGGCCUUCGGGUCGUAAAGCUCUGUCGCAGGGGAAUAACACAAUGAAGGUACCCUGUAAGAAAGGAUCGGCUAACUUCGUG